GGGCCAAGAAAACCUUAAAAUAGAUUAUGGUAUUGGUAGGGUAGCCGCCGGAAGUAAAACCCUAAUCUUCAGAUGAGUUUCUUUUUUGUGUUUCUGUGUUGUGUAUUUAUAUGGUUUUUAGUGACGAUCGUCUUCAUCAAUUCAUAGGAUCUUUCUCUCAUUUCUCUUUGUCUGUUUGCUGUAGUUGUUUGGUUUUUAGGGUUUAUUGAAAGAGGUUAGUGAUGUUUUUGAAUGGGUGUGGGAAAGGGGUAAGGAUGAUAUGGUGAUGACAAAAGUGUAUUUUAUGGACUAGAGUUUCAGAUCUGGGAUUCUUCUCCCAGUAGUUGAAGAUUAACCCUUGGCUGUCUGAAUAUUAUCAAACCCCCUUCUUUCAUUCCAGUAUCUUGUCUUUUUUUUUUUAAAUCCAUUAUUGAAUACAGUUCUGUUUUGAAGGUUUAUGGAUUGGAUUGGAUGUGUUUAUUCAUGUUUUUGUUUGGGGUAUGAAAAAGCUUAUGAUGAUAAAAAACAAUUAUCUUAGCGGAUUUCAGUGAGGUUCUUUGAAUCUGUGAUCUGAAUUUGUUACACACACUGAGGCUUUGUAUUUCUUACCAUGUUUUUGUUUUGGUUUGGUUGGAUUGUUGAUAUGAUUGUUUUGAUGGUGAUGCAAUGAUGAGAGAAAAGCACGAAGAGUGUGAGAAGAGCAGUGGGUUAUACCGCGUCCAUUACCAAUUCUGAGGGAUAAAUACAAUUCCUUCAGGUAUAAUGGCUUGUGACGCUAUAGUUGUUGUGGUAUAUCCUGAUCAUCUUGCCUUUUCCUCUGCUUUUUGAUCCUGGAAAUGCCUCGUAUAUUUUAUAUCAGUCACAUUGGACUUUGUUUUCCCUUUUUGUUUAUCCCGGAAGGGGAUGCGUUAUUAAAUCAUAAAAAUGAGUAAUUUGAUUGUGGGCAGAUGGUAGUGGCCCUGUUCUUUUUCGUGUUGCUGGAUCAGCGACUGCGACACGUUAAAACGACAACAAUAUCAAAAAUCAAAACGACAACGGCAGUGGCAAGGUGAUGACGCGGACGUGUUUAUUAGAGAGAGAAAAAGUGUCGCGGGGGAGAGAGAAGAAUCGCCGGAUUUUCCAGCGACUGUUGCGACAUCUCAUUUCAACAACACAGCGACUCUUGUUUACAACGGCAGCGAUGCUUCUUCAUAACAAUGACGAUUUUCCUUGUUUAUUUUUCUGUCGCAGUCACUCCUCCAGCGACUUGAAAAAGAACAGGGCUAGUAUCAGUUUUUUUACUCUGCUGAAUUAUUGAAUAGCUUCUACUGACAGUCAAUUGUCAUAUGGCUACUUGCAGCCAAAGGCAUGUGCUAGUUCAAGAGUUCAAAAGAUGUUAUCCUUCUGGUUGAACAACAUUGCGGGAUAUAACAUAGUUGUGGUGACCAAAAUAGACCUGAGAUCGAUGAGAGAGACCAUUGUUUUUAGAGAAUCUUUCGUCGAAGUUGUCUUUCUUGCAGUUAUAUAUAACGCUUUAAUGAUGCAAAAGCAUUAAUGGAAUUCAAUGCGAGUUACUACUUCA